CUACGGGGGGCUCCAGUGAGGAAUAUUGCACAAUGGGGGGAACCCUGAUGCAGCAACGCCGCGUGGAGGAUGACGCAUUUCGGUGUGUAAACUCCUUUUAUAUGUCAAGAAAAUGACGGUAGCAUAUGAAUAAGCACCGGCUAACUCCGUGCCAGCAGCCGCGGUAAAUACGGAGGGUGCAAGCGUUACUCGGAAUCACUGGGCGUAAAGGACGCGUAGGCGGGAUAUCAAGUCAGGUGUGAAAUCCUAAAGCUUAACUGUAGAACUGCACUUGAAACUGGUAACAUAGAGUAUGGGAGGGGGAGAUGGAAUUAGUGGUGUAGGGGUAAAAUCCGUAGAUAUCACUAGGAAUACCUAAAGCGAAGGCGAUCUCCUGGAACAUAACUGACGCUAAGGCGUGAAAGCGUGGGGAGCAACCAGGAUUAGAUACCCCUGUAGUC
rnacentral:rRNA from 1 species